GAUGAAGAACUAGCGAAAUGCGAUAAGUAAUGUGAAUUGCAGAAUUCAGUGAAUCAUCGAAUCUUUGAACGCACAUUGCGCCCCCUGGCAUUCCGGGGGGCAUGCCUGUUCGAGCGUCAUUACAACCCUCAAGCUCUGCUUGGUAUUGGGCUCUGCUGGGACCGGCAGGCCUUAAAAUCAGUGGCGGCGCCACUCGGCUUCAAGCGUAGUAAUUCUUCUCGCUUCGGAGACCCGGGUGCGUGCUAGCCAGCAACCCCCAACUUUCUUAGGUUGACCUCGGAUCAGGUAGGGAUACCCGCUGAACUUAAGCAUAUCAAUAAGCGGAGGA
rnacentral:misc_RNA from 1 species